rnacentral:lncRNA from 1 species
UUUGUGUGUGAUUAUUGUGCUUGUGUGUAUUUAAUUGUCAUCGGGUGCAUUUACGUGAGUUUUCGUAUUAGAAGGGUAUUUUGGUAAUUUUGUGAGGAUGGGUAAAAUUAUAAUUUUAGUGGGAAUUGCUUUUAGUAAUUAAUAGGGAUAGUUAUUUCAUUAAGUUACUAGAGAGAGUCGAGAUUUUACAGUUAAUGACACUUUACCGUUAUUAAUUAAAAUAUCGUUUGGAGUGUAGUAACAUUUUGGUUUGAAUAGAAAUGGGUUAAGCCCACUAGAAACUAAGUUAAGCCCAUUAGUAGAGAUAACACUAGGGU